rnacentral:rRNA from 1 species
UACGUAGGCAGCGAGCGUUGUUCGGAAUUACUGGGCGUAAAGAGUGUGUAGGCGGUGCUCUAAGUUUGGUGUGAAAUCCCCAGGCUUAACCUGGGAACUGCGUCUGAUACUGGAUGGCUUGAAUUCGGGAGAGGGAUGCAGAAUUCCAGGUGUAGCGGUGAAAUGCGUAGAUAUCUGGAGGAAUACCGGUGGCGAAGGCGGCAUCCUGGACCGAGAUUGACGCUGAUGAGCGAAAGCUAGGGGAGCAAACGGG